UUACGGCCAUAUAACGUUGAAGCACUAGUUCCCGUACGAUCACCAACGUUAAAUAACUUCAAGCCUGGUUAGUACCGAGAUAGGUGACCACUUAGGAAUGCC